rnacentral:rRNA from 2 species
AAAUUGAAGAGUUUGAUCAUGGCUCAGAUUGAACGCUGGCGGCAGGCCUAACACAUGCAAGUCGAACGGUAACAGGAAGCAGCUUGCUGCUUCGCUGACGAGUGGCGGACGGGUGAGUAAUGUCUGGGAAACUGCCUGAUGGAGGGGGAUAACUACUGGAAACGGUAGCUAAUACCGCAUAACGUCGCAAGACCAAAGAGGGGGACCUUCGGGCCUCUUGCCAUCGGAUGUGCCCAGAUGGGAUUAGCUAGUAGG